rnacentral:rRNA from 1 species
UACGAAGGGGGGCUAGCGUUGCUCGGAAUUACUGGGCGUAAAGGGCGCGUAGGCGGAUAUUUAAGUCGGGGGUGAAAGCCCAGGGCUCAACCCUGGAACAGCCUUCGAUACUGGAUAUCUUGAGUACGGGAGAGGUGAGUGGAACUCCGAGUGUAGAGGUGAAAUUCGUAGAUAUUCGGAAGAACACCAGUGGCGAAGGCGACUCACUGGCCCGUUACUGACGCUGAGGCGCGAAGGCCAGGGGAGCAAAGCGGG